rnacentral:rRNA from 1 species
UGGCGGACGGGUGAGUAACACGUGAGCAACCUGCCUUUGAGAGGGGAAUAACGGCUGGAAACGGUCGCUAAUACCGCAUAAUGUACGGAUGGGACAUCCUGUCUGUACCAAAGAUUUAUCGCUCGAAGAUGGGCUCGCGUCCGAUUAGGUAGUUGGUGAGGUAACGGCCCACCAAGCCGACGAUCGGUAGCCGGACUGAGAGGUUGAACGGCCACAUUGGGACUGAGACACGGCCCAGACUCCUACGGGAGGCAGCAG